rnacentral:rRNA from 1 species
UACGAAGGGGGCUAGCGUUGCUCGGAAUCACUGGGCGUAAAGCGCGUGUAGGCGGCCAGAAAAGUCCGCUGUGAAAACUCGAGGCUCAACCUCGAGCUGUCGGUGGAAACUUUCUGGCUAGAGUCCGGAAGAGGAGAAUGGAAUUCCUGGUGUAGCGGUGAAAUGCGCAGAUAUCAGGAAGAACACCCGUGGCGAAGGCGGUUCUCUGGGACGGUACUGACGCUGAGACGCGAAAGCGUGGGGAGCGAACAGG